GUCGUCGUCCGCCGAGGGGAGGAGGCUGUCAGGAGCCCGCGGGCUCCCGGCCGCGGCGCUCUCUGGGCCCCUAGCAGCCCGGCUCGCGCCGCUCCGCGCCCCUCCGCGCCGCGCCCCCUCAGCACUGGCCAGCUCCCUCCCCUGACGUCACACGCCGCUGCCGCGCACGGCCCUGCGGGGCACGCUGGGAGUUGGAGUCCGCUCAGCGAGGCCGGCCACGCCGACCGCACCAACUGAAGGGGUGGAAGGAGGGAUAGGAAGCACUGAGAAGGGAAAGCUAAAGUCUGUCAAUAUCAAGAACCAUGACAAAGCGUUUGAUGUCUACGUAGUAAGCGGAUACUUCCGGAACUUCUCUUGAUUGUGAUUUAUACCUGAUCAAAGUUCCCUAAGAGUCCUCGUAACCCCCCACUCCAACAAUGAGUCUUUCCAAGGAGGCGGAUCGCGAGGCAGCCGGGUGAGCACGUGCAACGAAGCCCAACCCUGUGGGCGGGGCCCUGGAGGCGGGGCUUUAAGGUACUCACGAGGGCCUCUGCCUGCCGCUGCAGGACAAAUUGGACCGGAGAUUAAAGGACCGGAGUUUAACUUGAGUUUCCCGAAGCUUUCCGGAAGCAAAAUCCUGGAUUUUGCAGCUGCUCCGCGGCCCCCGGCCGAAUCCGCCCGCUGCGGCCACCAGGUGGCGCGCGGCCACCGGUCACUGGGCCCGCCGGGGUGUCCGCCUUCGGCGACCCCUUCGGAAAAGGACUUCGCUGCUGUCGCCCAGGGUCUAAGGCCUACCUGGCCCGCUUGAAGACAAAGAAUGAGAACGUUGGUGCUUUGCCCGCCUCUGCUCUGCCGGAUUAUGCUGCAGCUUCCUCGGUGGCCCCUCCUUCGCCCUCUCCUGCUCCACCCGCCCCACCAAUCCCUUAGCUCUUUUGUGUCAUUUUUGCUUAAUUUUAAGUCCUCGUCCUGGCAUUCGCAUCCCUGCUUGACCUGACCUUUGCCCACGUUUCGCACCACACCCCUUCCCUCACCUGCUACGAAAGUUGCAACGCUUCUCUGCACUUGGGGGCACCUGGACCUUAUCAACACUGGUGAAACUAUUUCAUAUGUAAUCUGGGAGACUUACAUUAACACUCUGUCGUCUAAACCUCGUACCCGCUCUCUGAGGGAGCAACAAUAUUGUCCCUAUCCAGCAAUUCUGGUGAUGAAGUCCACCAGAAGUGAUGGGGAUUCCAGCUCCAUUCUGUCACAUACCAGAACCUUAAUCCCUGGCUCCUUCAAGCUGGAACGCAGCUGAGUUCACCAGACCCAUUCCCACACUCUUAUGCAUCUUUCAAGAUCCUGUUCAAAUGUUUCUUCAGUGGCAUCUUCCUUAAUACCUUCCACCGAGGGACAACUAGAUCCCCUCUGCUAGGUAGCAGUGUUUCGGAGCUAAACCCUGUGACUGAGAGAGGACGGCCUGCCAUUCCCUCAGCUAUGGGUUCUAAAAUAUGUUAGGACCUUGCUGGGCGCGGUGGCUCACACCUGUAAUCCCAGCACUUUGGGAGACUGAGGCGGGCGGAUCACCUGAGGUCGGGAGUUUGAGACCAGCCUGACCAACAUGGAGAAAACCCGUCGCUACUAAAAAUACAAAAUUAGCCAGGCGUGGUGGCGCAUGCCAGUAAUCCCAGCUACUCGGGAGGCUGAGGCAGGAGAAUCGUUUGAACCUGGGAGGUGGAGAUUGUGGUGAGCCGAGAUCGCGCCAUGGCGCUCCAGCCUGGGCAACAAGAGCAAAACUCCGUCUCAAAAAAAAAAGUCAGGACCAUCUGGCCCUUCUCGGGACUCUACCUUUUUGUCACAGGUUCUGGUAGUAGUGAGUUCUCUGUCCCUGGAGAUGCCAUCAGAGCCUAAGUGGCACUGCAGAAACAUGCAGCCCUAGGAUUUUGGUAGUUGAUGAAGAUUCUAAGUCAACCCUCUUAGAUGGGCAGAAGAGUUCAGCCAAAUGCUCAGCCCCUGGAAACAACUCCAGUCCUUCAGACUACAGCUCUGUUGUCCCUUCCUUCCACAAACCUUCCCACACCUCCCUGACUAGUCACAUCCCUUUAUUCUCACUCAUAACCCCAACUGCUGAGUACUGGCACAUAGUAGGCUCUCAAUAAUUACUGACUGGGUGGAAGAAUGGAUAAAAACAACUAACCCUAAGCGAGUGACUUCUGAGCCUCUAUUUCCUGUCUUCUAAGAGGGGAUGGGUAAUAACGAUAGUUGCUACCUAGCAGGAAUGCUGUGAGAAUUAAACGAUGCGUGCAAAGCAGUGAAAGGUCUGGCCUAAUAAAUGGAACCUGUUACUAAUGUUAUUUAAAUAGUGGUUCUGAAUCUCAGACGCAUGUCUUCUGAAAGUGCUUCUGGGAAGAGUCAAAUACCACAAAACUGAGAAAAGCAAGGGAAAUGACUGCUAGAGACCGCAGCCACUGUCCCUAAGCAUAGAGGGCUCUAUGAACUAAGGGCUCUAUGACUCACUAUGAGUCCAGCACCUACUAUGGGGCCUUUUAUCUAAUUUCUCUACGUUUCUUCCAACAAUCCUAAGAAAUCAGUACUUUCCCCCCAGUUUAGAAAUGUGGGGACAGGCUCAGAAAGAUGAAACAGACUCUGCUACCACCUGCAGGACUCAAGACAAAAGAUCUGGAAAGCAAUGUGUCCAAGGAUAAGGAGGGAUCUUGGUGUGGUUCUGAGGCCAGAGGCAGCAGACAGACGGGACCAGACAGGGAUACAGCUAAGAACGAGGCAGGCAUGGCAGGGUGUGGUGGCUCACAUCUGUAAUCCUAGCACUUUGGGAGGCAGAGGCGGGGCAGAUUGAGCUCAGUCGGGAGGAUGAUUAGAAGUGGGACUAGGUGGAGAGGAAGGCUUUCGGGUGGAAGGAACAGCAUGUGCCAAGGUCCCAAGGCCAGAUCAGGGCUUGGCCCAUUUGAGCAGCUGGGAGAAUCCGUGGUGACCAGAGCCCACCGAGGGGAGAGAAGGGUGAAGAGGAG
rnacentral:lncRNA from 1 species